rnacentral:rRNA from 1 species
UACGUAGGGCGCGAGCGUUGUCCGGAAUUAUUGGGCGUAAAGAGCUCGUAGGCGGCCUGUUGCGUCUGCUGUGAAAUCCCGGGGCUUAACCCCGGGCGUGCAGUGGAUACGGGCAGGCUGGAGGCAGGCAGGGGAGAAUGGAAUUCUCGGUGUAGCGGUGAAAUGCGCAGAUAUAGGGAGGAACACCGGUGGCGAAGGCGGUUCUCUGGGCCUGUUCUGACGCUGAGGAGCGAAAGCGUGGGGAGCGAACAGG